AUUGAACGCUGGCGGCAGGCUUUACCCAUGCAAGUCGAGCGGAGCGGCGGUCGGGGGAGUAUUGCCUAGGAAUCUGCCUGGUAGUGGGGGUUAACGUCCGGUAUCGGGCGCUACUACCGCAUACUAUCAGUUGAGCCUAGGACGGAUUAGCUAGCUGGCGGGGUAAAGGCCUACCAAGGCGACGAUCCGUAACUGGUUUGAGAUGAUGAGAAGUCACAAUUGAACUGAGACACGGACCAUACUCCUACGGGAGGCAGCAGUGGGGAAUAUUGGACAAUGGGCGAAAGCCUGAGCCAGCCAUGCCGCGUGUGUGAAGAAGGUCUGCGGAUUGUAAAGCACUUUAAGUAGGGAGGCGUUACCGACAGAAUAAGCACCGGCUAACUUCGUGCCAGCAGCCGCGGUAAUAC
rnacentral:rRNA from 1 species